CUGAGGGGCAGAUAGCGGCCCUGAGGGGCGGGAGGCGGCCGUGAGGGGCGGAAAGCGGCCCUGAGGGGGCCUCGGCCGCCGCUCCGCCCCGCGUGAGAACUGUCCCCGUUUUGCGUCUCCUGAACCGAGGAACGCCUGUGGACAGGCUCUGUGAAUUAACAGUGACUCAAGACGUGCCAGACCUACCCACACGUCUCGAAGAUAAACAUUCAUUAGGUGAAUCCAGCACAUCCAGUAAAGAAGUACUUGAACACUAAUGACAUUCUAAUUUCAGGAAGAUGUCUGAAGUUUCUGAAGUCAUAACUAAAGUUGACAUCAAACCAAAAUCAAUGCAUCGUGCCAAAAUAUGGUCAAAUGAUGUAGAGAACUUAUACAGAUUCCAGCAAGCUGGAUACAGAGAUGAGGUGGAAUAUAAACAAGUAAAACAAGUUGAUAAGGCUCUCCUCACUCAUGGAUCCCUUGAAAAGCCUGUCCAGUGUCCUCUAUCCUGGCUCCGUCAACCAGCCCUGGCUCAGACUUUAAGUCUUUUCCAGAGGCUGGCACACAGCAAAGGUAAUUAAGGAUGGGAUUUAAUAAGAAGGCAGGCCAGACUGCAUGGAUCAGGGCCAGGGCCCAGCCAGGUGAUUGUCCUGCCCAAACACUUGCUGUCAUGUCUGAUCCCUCCAGCCUCCUUCCUUGUCAUCUUCCCGUGCUUGUUCCACCCUGAUCCUUCCCUUCCUGUGUCUUCGGCCAUUUCUGUAAACAUCCUGUAGUAAGUUUGGUUCAGUCUCCCAAGCUCCCUCAAAUGCACCUCUAAUUUCACACUAACCAUGUUUUCUUGAUCUUAUCAGUUGCAAUAUUGAGGCAGAUCCUCUCCAAAUCCAGAGUAUCUCCUUUAAUGGCUCAUCAGUCAGUGCCUGGCAAGCUCUGCCUUCCCUUAUUGUCUCUCUAAUCACCUGCUCAUCAAUGGUUAUGUGUUUAAAUCACUGUUUUCCUCGUUAUUUGUUAUUUCUAAGAUACGGAAUAACCAAACCAUUUACGGGAGCAGAUGCUCUCCAGUUUCACAGGCUCCCGAGGCAGGCGCUGGGCCGCCUCUGAGGGAUGGUGUAGAGGCACCUACGCACCGGAGCCCCGCGGUGCUGCCGCUGCUGCGCGUGGCCUGGCAGGCGGCUCUGGGGAAGGGAUACAGAGAAGGGAAUGCCUAGAAACAGAAGGAGGAGGGGGAAGGGAGGGAAGAAAGGAAAGGGUUCAGGGAAGGAUGAGCAGGUUAAAGAAUCAAGCACGCAGAUGCAUCAGCAUUUUGCCAGCAAUCUCGUACUUACUGAAACCUCCUCCCCUCCUGGCAGCUCUUGCUGGUUGGGGAGGUAGGAUGUGGUCCCAGCUCCUCACUGCAGAUGUUCCUCCUGCCUUGGCAGGAGUACCCAAAUACCUCAUCCAAGGGGGAGCUAUCCUGCUCGGGUGGAUAAAAUGCUGCCAGCUGCUUGGGGGAUGGAGCAAAGAGCAGGGGGACUGGAUCUAUGGCAGGCUCUUCAUGUUUGCCCGGGGUGUCUGGAGGAUGUCUGCUGUGCCGUCCUGGGAGCAUCCUCAUGCCAAGUACAUGAUGUUCCAGCCAGGGCUGGGAUGUGAGCGAGGAGGAGCCAGCAGGUGGGCUGUGAGUGCGAGGAGAUAAGUGCUAGGAUGCUGUGCCUGGAGAGAUGGGCUGGAGCCAGGCACAUGCGACACAGGGAUGUGUUGGGCAGUGUUCUGGAGCAAAGAGCCUGGUGUCCCUGCAGAUCAGCUUCCUUCCGUGGCUCUGGUUUCCUGAAGCUACAGACACUGGAGCUCUUGCCCUAUGGUGGUUACAACCUGACAAUUCCUAUCCUAAACUCCUAUCCUAACCUCCUAAAAUGCCCAUCUUGUUCAGAAGGACCCUAUUUUCCUCCACUGGACCAUUCAAAAAGGAGGAGGUCUGUGUACCAGAGCUGAAAGAUCACUAUUUGGAGGAGAUGCUAAUUAAAAACAUGAACUAUCUCUUUGAUAGCCUGUCACUCACAACUUUGGUUACAGCAAAUGAGAAAGACUACUACACUUGCAACUACAGAGAUUUAUUUUAAACAUCAGUGGAUUAAUAUUUUGUCACACCAGAGCAAUAUUUCAACAGAGAAGAGAGAGGUAGAUAGAUGACAGACAGAUAGAUCUGAAGGAUGAGUUCAGACGAGGUGUUUAGAAGAGAUAUUCAUUGCCAUUGAAUGCAUGUUGCAAACACUAUUGAGAAUGUAAAGCAACAGAAACAGAAGAAAUACAAAACUUAAUUAUAUUAUAGACACUAAGGAGACAUUAAAAUAUCACUGGUAAUCUUAACUUAUGAAUAGCUUCCCUGUUAUUUGCAAUCUUACCGUUUAUGUCCAUCAGAUGGGAAAAACAUCACACCAAAUGUUCAUAAUUCCUGCUUUACUACAUCAGAAAAAGUUAGUAGGAUUCAUCUAUACCAGAUGAAAUAAUUUACCAUCUGUAGCUGAGGAGGAUGUGAAACAUCACCUUCUAAAUACAAAUACUUUAAGUUCAGAAGUCUGGGGUCAUGCACACUUCCAUUCUUAAGACCAGUAGCUCAGUACUCUCAUUUCACUAAUUUUAGAUCUUAACAAGGUUUGGAAAACAAGAGGUGCCAGAGGACUGAUGGAGAGUCAACAUGAACUAGUGCUUAAAAGGGAAUACUAGACUGGAUAAACAGACUCUAAUCAGGGAUAAAUUAAUGAAGUGGUUACACUGGGACUCUGUCAAUUGAGGUUAAUAAAUAUUUUCCACUGUGCUUCACUGAUCGGACACAUCUUGUCUGAUACAGACAAGGUGGAUACAGAGAUGUAAGACAGAUACAGAGCAGGCAGAGGUUUUGUUUCUGGGACAUUAUUUUACUGUCUGAGGACUAACACACUUUCCAAACACUGUCAUCAGUCUCAGCCCAGAGUUACCUGACUGUAAGCAGCACUUGUGCUGUGUGAGACCCUGAGAAGAGAGUUCAUACCUCUCACUUGGGAUGGAGCCCUCUGCCCUCAGAAUCUGUGAGAUCUAUAAACUUUAGUAAGAUAACAGCUCCCUGGUGCAAAUAGGAUUUGCAUGACUUGCUUUUCAAUUCAGAGGCUGUAGCCACUGCAGGUUUUGAAAUGCACAUGCCCAUGGAGAAGAAAAAAACUGCGGUUGGGGCAGUGCCAGCUGGAAACAUUUCAGCACAAGAGGCAGCAGUCUGGAUUUCAGGCAGAUGUUUUAGUCAGCCUCUGGCUAGUCAUUGUUUAAUGGAACAUCGAGUUUUGGGAAGAAAAGCUCCUUCUCCUGGAUGUGUUUGGCUGGCAGGUAGCCUUGAGGUGGCUUGGGAAGAUGGAUGAGGCACGCAGACCCUCGCUGCUGGUGGGAUGACCUCUCAGAGCAUGCUUGCAAAGAAGGUUUUUCAUCUCACCUCUCUGCAGAGAAUCACAAAACCCUGCAUUUCAAGGCUGUAGUAGUGCCAAAGGGGAGCAUAUGCACAUACUAAGGAAGGACAAAUAGGUGCAUAAUUUUCUUUUCUGCUUAUCCCACUGUGGAAAGCUUAAAUGACAAGAUGGAAAUCCUGCAAAAUCAGGAGGUGGUACUGCUGCUCUGUGUCCUUUUGCUAUUCAAAGAAGCUUUUUUAUUCCUGAAUAUCAGUACCAAUGCAGAUUUCCCUGUGAUGUUCCUGCCACCCUUGGUGGGGUGAUGUCUCACUUGCAGAUGCAGCAGAUGAAGAGCUGUUUUGCUGUUUAGCUGGUGUGUAACAACCAGUGUCACACUGAGCUCUAUCCUCUGCUCUUCAAAGGGGUAAUUUGAAGCAGCCCCACAGCUGCUGCCCCACUUAAUGUCUGCCACCAGCUCAGAGGAGCAGUUGGUAAACAGCUUAUACAUCUAUCAGAAGCCCAGGAGGGAAAUUUGCAUUGUAUAUCCAUACACAUGUAUGUAUUAAUGAAAUGUUUAUCUUUUUGAAGAUAUUUUUUCUCAAAAAUAAAAAAUAUUGAGGAAUUUUUUUUUCUCUAAAUCGAAUGCUGACUCUGCUGAGAUUUUGGAGCAUGAAGGACUAGAUGGGAAAGCUUCUGCAAUUCACUAAGAUAAUGUAAAAGAGGGAGAAUCCACAUUCCUCAUAAAACACAAAUGCUGAAAAAUCCACAGGAGAAUGAAGAUUAUAAUGAAUAAUUCAGACAAUACAUCCUUGAAUGAGAAUGUUUCAGCUUCCUCAUUUGCUCAGUCUCUCAUCUGAUCUCCAAGAGCUAAACAUAAAUGUGGAAAAAGUGAAAUAAAAUAGUUUUUCAGAA